CAGUCGGUGCCGCGUGCGGGCUGGUGGCUCUGUGGCAGCAGCAGCGGCUGGUCUCCGGCCCCAUGAGCAGCUUCAGCAGCAAGGAGCGCGCCGCGCCCUUCAGUCUUGAGUACCGAGUCUUCCUCAAAAAUGAAAAAGGCCAAUAUAUAUCUCCAUUUCAUGAUGUUCCAAUUUAUGCUGAUAAGGAUGUAUUCCACAUGGUAGUUGAAGUACCACGCUGGUCUAAUGCGAAAAUGGAGAUUGCUAUAAAGGAUCCUUUAAAUCCAAUUAAACAAGAUGUGAAAAAGGGAAAGCUUCAUUAUGUCGCAAAUUUGUUCCCGUAUAAAGGAUAUAUCUGGAACUAAGGUGCCAUCCCUCAGACUUGGGAAGAACCAGGACUCAAUGAUAAACAUACUGGCUGCUGUGGAGACAAUGACCCAAAUGAUGUGUGUGAAAUUGGAAGCAAGGUAUGUGCAAGAGGUGAAAUAAUCAGGGUCAAAGUUCUGGGCAUAUUGGCUAUGAUUGAUGAGGGAGAAACCAACUGGAAGGUCAUUGCCAUUAAUGUAGAUGAUCCUUAUGCAGCCAAUUAUAAUGACAUCGGUGAUGUCAAAUGGCUGAAACCUGGCUAUCUAGAAGCUACUGUGGACUGGUUUAGAAGGUACAAAUUUCCUGAUGGAAAACCAGAAAAUGAGUUUGCUUCCAAUGCAGAAUUUAAAUAUAUGGACUUUGCAGUUGAUAUUAUUAAAAGCACUCAUGUCUACUGGAAAGCAUUAGUGACUAAGAAAACAUAUGGAAAAGGAAUCAGUUGCAUGAAUACAACAGUAUUGGAAAGUCCCUUCAAGUGUGAUCCUGAUGCUGCCAAAGCCAUUGUGGAAGAUUUACCACCACCAUAUGACUCUUCCUGCACAGUACCAACAGAUGUGGAUAAGUGGUUUCAUCACCAGAAAAACUGAGAUAUCUCCAGAAUAUAAACUGAUAUUGCUGCAUCCUAUUCAUUUGGAAGAAUUAGAUGUUAAAGUAGUAGCUUUUCAAAGCUUUACAUUUCUAGAACUCAUCUAACUAAAGCAAAUUCUGCUAUGACCAAUUCAAUAUAUUCAGAAUGAUAUCUGUUUAAAGCAUUUUUCAUAUCUCAACCAAGAUAACUUUUAGUACGGGCUUAAAUAUCAAAGCAGCUGUGAUGUGGAAGUCACUUGUGAAUAGACGUGCAAGACGGGCACAUAUUGGAUGUAUAUGUUUACCUUGUGUUAGGAAAUAAAAUUAUUUUGCUGAAAAAAAA